CAACCUGGUCAAGGUGGUGACAUUUUGACUGUUAUGCAUUGACAUCUUUCUACAGAAUUAGAAGUAUUUAUCACCAACUAGCCAAGAUGAACAUGGUGAAGAGGAUCAUGGGGAGGCCGAGGCAGGAGGAGUGCAGCCCGCAGGACAAUGCCUUGGGACUGAUGCACCUCCGCCGUCUCUUCACUGAGCUGUGCCAUCCUCCCCGGCACAUGACUCAGAAGGAACAAGAAGAGAAAUUAUACAUGAUGCUGCCAGUGUUUAACAGGGUUUUUGGAAAUGCUCCGCCAAAUACAAUGACAGAAAAGUUUUCUGAUCUUCUGCAGUUCACAACCCAGGUCUCACGACUAAUGGUGACAGAAAUUCGAAGGAGAGCAUCAAACAAAUCCACAGGUAUUACAGAAGCCAGAAAAACCAGAUUUAUUUGAAUAAACAGGCAAUUC
rnacentral:lncRNA from 1 species